AGCGUAGACGGUGUGGCAAGUCUGAUGUGAAAGGCAUGGGCUCAACCUGUGGACUGCAUUGGAAACUGUCAUGCUUGAGUGCCGGAGGGGUAAGCGGAAUUCCUAGUGUAGCGGUGAAAUGCGUAGAUAUUAGGAGGAACACCAGUGGCGAAGGCGGCUUACUGGACGGUAACUGACGUUGAGGCUGAAAGCGUGGGGAGCAAACA
rnacentral:rRNA from 1 species